UGGAUGGAGGAAUAAGUCCUGCUGAGCAGGGGGAAGCCAGGCAGAUGCCGCUGUGCCUGUAAGUUUCUGCCAGAGCUGUAGCCAGAGAGCAGAGGGG